GAGGCAAAAGCCAGCGUAAAUUUGACUGUUACCCAAGGUGGUUAAUCUUAAGCCCAAGCAAUAUCAGCCAUUAUCACAGCUGUUGAUCAUCAUUUAUUGUUCAAUUCAGCUUUUGAUUACUUAGUUUACGUUUGACUGUGAGCAACGAAGAACAUUGAGAUUGGAACGUACAUAAAAAUUUUAAUUUCGUUAAGGGAAAGUGAUUAUGAUUUAGAUGCUAAUAUUGCAGAACUGUGCUUUUAACCUUUCCCACACCUUAAACGGAAUAGGCCAAUAUUGGAAUGGUAGACUUUGACCAAAACGCCAAAUACAGUUAUAUCCGAUAUUAUAGAUUAUGUCUCUUGGAGAGUUUUUUUAGUUCACAAAAUGUCUUCAAAAUGUCCGGUGCACGCUCUGUGCUUAUCAUGGUUGCCAAGGAUGGAUUUAUGAAAAUGAUCUUCACUCUGCGGCAGGAGAGGGGAGCGCCCUUUGUCUAACUCCGACCACCUGCUCGUCAGUUCUGCAUCUCCUACAGAGUCCAUAACCAAAAAUAUCCAUGACAUGUAUUAGUGCUUUCUCAAUUGUCACGAGCGUUUCGCAUCUUUUAUGUAAAAGUUAUUUGAAAUAAAACAGUUUUGUAAAUA